GCACAAUAGGCCUUGUUCUGGGGUAUGUGUUUAGCUGGUCGGUGCGGUCUAGCAAACCGGGGAUCGGGGAGAUUGGCUCUCUAAUGGCCAUCAUAUUUGGUGGCUCUAUCACUCCCUCCCUUCCGAUGGCGCAAUGCGCCAACUCCAUGACUUACUAUCUUCUUGGUCUGGCUGUCGGUUUCUUUCUGUACAUCUUGAUGGUGAGAUUCAACUGGGAGCAUUUCCCGAAGGGUGCAUGCGGCAGCGUCAG
rnacentral:rRNA from 1 species